UCAGGUAAGCAAUGUGGCCCAUGGGCCUCUUGUUACUGAACUCUUUGCAAUGUUACAUUUGCAAAAAUAAACUUCCUAGGUAGUAUAUGAAAGUGACCAACAGCUAUAGCUACAUGUGUGGCUCUAUGUCCUGUCCCCUUAGGAUCUGUUCACUUCCUCAUACAACCUUUUGCGGUGUCUGUUGUAGUGGCUCAUCUUACAUCAAAUGGAAUGGAUCCAUGCCAGGAUUCACUUUUCCUUCCCAUGCUGGUUCCAGUCCAGUAAACUGUCACAGUCUGGGAAAUUCUGUCACUGGUGAUGCCGCAGAAAGAAAACACUAUGGAUGCACAUGAUGCUACUUCCUGAAUGGUGCUGAACCUGUUUGUCAACAUGUGGAACCCAUGUGUACUUGAGGGAGAAGUCUCCCUUGAUAAAGUUCAACAAUGGCGGAUAAACAAUGUGGGAUGCUGUCUUGUCAACAACAGUGAAAUUUGACACCUGUAUACCCGUAUUUCUACCAAUUGUCUCAGUCUUCUUUGUUGUGUACAUCAGACAGAUGAUGGACCACUCUACUUCUUUUGACAACAGGUGCCCCUACAGAUUCACAAAGUUCCAAUGUUGAAUGUCCAUGACCCUGGUUGAUCCGCGACAGGAAAAGGAAUAAAGUUGGCAGGAAUUUCCGCACUGUCUUUGGUAGCAGCUGAUGAUGGAACUGACAGCAGUUGACAUGGCCUGUUUCUUCAAAGAUGCACCAGAAGCAGCAGCACUAUCUCCAUCACUGGUGAAAUGGGAAAUGACAAGUGGACGGUCAUCACUUUGCAGCUCAACGAUGCAUUCCGCAGCCCAUCUCUUUUCAUCUUCUAUGGUGUUCUCAGGAGGAAUGGUUGCAAUGCAGUCUUCAUGUCCUAGGCAUGUAACUUCCUUUUCCUUGGUUCUAAAAUAGGUGCCUUUCUUGCAUAGUUUAUUGCCACAAAACACAGCCACACCAUUCUUCUUGGUAACAUUUUCACUUAAGGUCAGACGACACGUUCCUCAAUUUUAGAUAACUUUUUCCAGGAAAUUGUUAAUGGUUUACUACUACUUUGACAAGCCUUCUUGCAAAAAAUUAGGGUACCUUCCCAAGCAUUUCUUCAAAAUACUAGAGUAUGCAAUUUCCUAUAUAAUCUUCUUGAAAAUACACUUGAAUUGCUGAUAUAAAAAUAAAUUCAUCUACACCACAGCGAUAUUCACUAUAUUAGAACUACAUCUCUGCCGGGGCGGGGCUUUGAACUCACGACCUCUAUAACCUAUAAACGCUUCUGACAGUGAGCUGCCACGGUUCUAACCACUCGACCAUCU